GGGUUGUGAGGUUAAGCGACUAAGCGUACACGGUGGAUGCCCUGGCAGUCAGAGGCGAUGAAGGACGUGCUAAUCUGCGAUAAGCGUCGGUGAGGUGAUAUGAACCGUUAUAACCGGCGAUUUCCGAAUGGGGAAACCCAGUGUGUUUCGACACACUAUCAUUAACUGAAUCCAUAGGUUAAUGAGGCGAACCGGGGGAACUGAAACAUCUAAGUACCCCGAGGAAAAGAAAUCAACCGAGAUUCCCCCAGUAGCGGCGAGCGAACGGGGAGGAGCCCAGAGCCUGAAUCAGUGUGUGUGUUAGUGGAAGCGUCUGGAAAGGCGCGCGAUACAGGGUGACAGCCCCGUACACAAAAAUGCACAUGCUGUGAGCUCGAUGAGUAGGGCGGGACACGUGGUAUCCUGUCUGAAUAUGGGGGGACCAUCCUCCAAGGCUAAAUACUCCUGACUGACCGAUAGUGAACCAGUACCGUGAGGGAAAGGCGAAAAGAACCCCGGCGAGGGGAGUGAAAAAGAACCUGAAACCGUGUACGUACAAGCAGUGGGAGCCUCUUAAUGGGGUGACUGCGUACCUUUUGUAUAAUGGGUCAGCGACUUAUAUUCUGUAGCAAGGUUAACCGAAUAGGGGAGCCGAAGGGAAACCGAGUCUUAACUGGGCGUUAAGUUGCAGGGUAUAGACCCGAAACCCGGUGAUCUAGCCAUGGGCAGGUUGAAGGUUGGGUAACACUAACUGGAGGACCGAACCGACUAAUGUUGAAAAAUUAGCGGAUGACUUGUGGCUGGGGGUGAAAGGCCAAUCAAACCGGGAGAUAGCUGGUUCUCCCCGAAAGCUAUUUAGGUAGCGCCUCGUGAAUUCAUCUCCGGGGGUAGAGCACUGUUUCGGCAAGGGGGUCAUCCCGACUUACCAACCCGAUGCAAACUGCGAAUACCGGAGAAUGUUAUCACGGGAGACACACGGCGGGUGCUAACGUCCGUCGUGAAGAGGGAAACAACCCAGACCGCCAGCUAAGGUCCCAAAGUCAUGGUUAAGUGGGAAACGAUGUGGGAAGGCCCAGACAGCCAGGAUGUUGGCUUAGAAGCAGCCAUCAUUUAAAGAAAGCGUAAUAGCUCACUGGUCGAGUCGGCCUGCGCGGAAGAUGUAACGGGGCUAAACCAUGCACCGAAGCUGCGGCAGCGACGCUUAUGCGUUGUUGGGUAGGGGAGCGUUCUGUAAGCCUGUGAAGGUGGCCUGUGAGGGUUGCUGGAGGUAUCAGAAGUGCGAAUGCUGACAUAAGUAACGAUAAAGCGGGUGAAAAGCCCGCUCGCCGGAAGACCAAGGGUUCCUGUCCAACGUUAAUCGGGGCAGGGUGAGUCGACCCCUAAGGCGAGGCCGAAAGGCGUAGUCGAUGGGAAACAGGUUAAUAUUCCUGUACUUGGUGUUACUGCGAAGGGGGGACGGAGAAGGCUAUGUUGGCCGGGCGACGGUUGUCCCGGUUUAAGCGUGUAGGCUGGUUUUCCAGGCAAAUCCGGAAAACCAAGGCUGAGGCGUGAUGACGAGGCACUACGGUGCUGAAGCGACAAAUGCCCUGCUUCCAGGAAAAGCCUCUAAGCAUCAGGUAACAUCAAAUCGUACCCCAAACCGACACAGGUGGUCAGGUAGAGAAUACCAAGGCGCUUGAGAGAACUCGGGUGAAGGAACUAGGCAAAAUGGUGCCGUAACUUCGGGAGAAGGCACGCUGAUAUGUAGGUGAAGCGACUUGCUCGUGGAGCUGAAAUCAGUCGAAGAUACCAGCUGGCUGCAACUGUUUAUUAAAAACACAGCACUGUGCAAACACGAAAGUGGACGUAUACGGUGUGACGCCUGCCCGGUGCCGGAAGGUUAAUUGAUGGGGUUAGCGGCAACGCGAAGCUCUUGAUCGAAGCCCCGGUAAACGGCGGCCGUAACUAUAACGGUCCUAAGGUAGCGAAAUUCCUUGUCGGGUAAGUUCCGACCUGCACGAAUGGCGUAAUGAUGGCCAGGCUGUCUCCACCCGAGACUCAGUGAAAUUGAACUCGCUGUGAAGAUGCAGUGUACCCGCGGCAAGACGGAAAGACCCCGUGAACCUUUACUAUAGCUUGACACUGAACAUUGAGCCUUGAUGUGUAGGAUAGGUGGGAGGCUUUGAAGUGUGGACGCCAGUCUGCAUGGAGCCGACCUUGAAAUACCACCCUUUAAUGUUUGAUGUUCUAACGUUGGCCCGUAAUCCGGGUUGCGGACAGUGUCUGGUGGGUAGUUUGACUGGGGCGGUCUCCUCCUAAAGAGUAACGGAGGAGCACGAAGGUUGGCUAAUCCUGGUCGGACAUCAGGAGGUUAGUGCAAUGGCAUAAGCCAGCUUGACUGCGAGCGUGACGGCGCGAGCAGGUGCGAAAGCAGGUCAUAGUGAUCCGGUGGUUCUGAAUGGAAGGGCCAUCGCUCAACGGAUAAAAGGUACUCCGGGGAUAACAGGCUGAUACCGCCCAAGAGUUCAUAUCGACGGCGGUGUUUGGCACCUCGAUGUCGGCUCAUCACAUCCUGGGGCUGAAGUAGGUCCCAAGGGUAUGGCUGUUCGCCAUUUAAAGUGGUACGCGAGCUGGGUUUAGAACGUCGUGAGACAGUUCGGUCCCUAUCUGCCGUGGGCGCUGGAGAACUGAGGGGGGCUGCUCCUAGUACGAGAGGACCGGAGUGGACGCAUCACUGGUGUUCGGGUUGUCAUGCCAAUGGCACUGCCCGGUAGCUAAAUGCGGAAGAGAUAAGUGCUGAAAGCAUCUAAGCACGAAACUUGCCCCGAGAUGAGUUCUCCCUGAGACUUAGAGUCUCCUGAAGGAACGUUGAAGACGACGACGUUGAUAGGCCGGGUGUGUAAGCGCAGCGAUGCGUUGAGCUAACCGGUACUAAUGAACCGUGAGGCUUAACCUUACAACGCCGAAG
rnacentral:rRNA from 1 species